rnacentral:rRNA from 1 species
UACGGAGGAUCCGAGCAUUAUCCGGAUUUAUUGGGUUUAAAGGGUGCGCAGGCGGGAGAUUAAGUCGGCGGUGAAAUUUUGCAGCUCAACUGUAAAAGUGCCUUCGAAACUGGUUUCCUUGAGUGUAGAUGAAGUAGGCGGAAUUUGUGGUGUAGCGGUGAAAUGCAUAGAUAUCACGAAGAACUCCGAUUGCGAAGGCAGCUUUCCGGGGUACGACUGACGCUGAAGCUCGAAAGUGCGGGAAUCAAACAGGAUUAGAUACCCGGGUAGUCCCU